GGUUAAGCGACUAAGCGUACACGGUGGAUGCCCUGGCAGUCAGAGGCGAUGAAGGACGUGCUAAUCUGCGAUAAGCGUCGGUAAGGUGAUAUGAACCGUUAUAACCGGCGAUUUCCGAAUGGGGAAACCCAGUGUGUUUCGACACACUAUCAUUAACUGAAUCCAUAGGUUAAUGAGGCGAACCGGGGGAACUGAAACAUCUAAGUACCCCGAGGAAAAGAAAUCAACCGAGAUUCCCCCAGUAGCGGCGAGCGAACGGGGAGCAGCCCAGAGCCUGAAUCAGUAUGUGUGUUAGUGGAAGCGUCUGGAAAGGCGCGCGAUACAGGGUGACAGCCCCGUACACAAAAAUGCACAUAUUGUGAGCUCGAUGAGUAGGGCGGGACACGUGGUAUCCUGUCUGAAUAUGGGGGGACCAUCCUCCAAGGCUAAAUACUCCUGACUGACCGAUAGUGAACCAGUACCGUGAGGGAAAGGCGAAAAGAACCCCGGCGAGGGGAGUGAAAAAGAACCUGAAACCGUGUACGUACAAGCAGUGGGAGCACGCUUAGGCGUGUGACUGCGUACCUUUUGUAUAAUGGGUCAGCGACUUAUAUUCUGUAGCAAGGUUAACCGAAUAGGGGAGCCGAAGGGAAACCGAGUCUUAACUGGGCGUUAAGUUGCAGGGUAUAGACCCGAAACCCGGUGAUCUAGCCAUGGGCAGGUUGAAGGUUGGGUAACACUAACUGGAGGACCGAACCGACUAAUGUUGAAAAAUUAGCGGAUGACUUGUGGCUGGGGGUGAAAGGCCAAUCAAACCGGGAGAUAGCUGGUUCUCCCCGAAAGCUAUUUAGGUAGCGCCUCGUGAAUUCAUCUCCGGGGGUAGAGCACUGUUUCGGCAAGGGGGUCAUCCCGACUUACCAACCCGAUGCAAACUGCGAAUACCGGAGAAUGUUAUCACGGGAGACACACGGCGGGUGCUAACGUCCGUCGUGAAGAGGGAAACAACCCAGACCGCCAGCUAAGGUCCCAAAGUCAUGGUUAAGUGGGAAACGAUGUGGGAAGGCCCAGACAGCCAGGAUGUUGGCUUAGAAGCAGCCAUCAUUUAAAGAAAGCGUAAUAGCUCACUGGUCGAGUCGGCCUGCGCGGAAGAUGUAACGGGGCUAAACCAUGCACCGAAGCUGCGGCAGCGACGCUGAUGCGUUGUUGGGUAGGGGAGCGUUCUGUAAGCCUGUGAAGGUGUGCUGUGAGGCAUGCUGGAGGUAUCAGAAGUGCGAAUGCUGACAUAAGUAACGAUAAAGCGGGUGAAAAGCCCGCUCGCCGGAAGACCAAGGGUUCCUGUCCAACGUUAAUCGGGGCAGGGUGAGUCGACCCCUAAGGCGAGGCCGAAAGGCGUAGUCGAUGGGAAACAGGUUAAUAUUCCUGUACUUGGUGUUACUGCGAAGGGGGACGGAGAAGGCUAUGUUGGCCGGGCGACGGUUGUCCCGGUUUAAGCGUGUAGGCUGGUUUUCCAGGCAAAUCCGGAAAAUCAAGGCUGAGGCGUGAUGACGAGGCACUACGGUGCUGAAGCAACAAAUGCCCUGCUUCCAGGAAAAGCCUCUAAGCAUCAGGUAACAUCAAAUCGUACCCCAAACCGACACAGGUGGUCAGGUAGAGAAUACCAAGGCGCUUGAGAGAACUCGGGUGAAGGAACUAGGCAAAAUGGUGCCGUAACUUCGGGAGAAGGCACGCUGAUAUGUAGGUGAAGUCCCUCGCGGAUGGAGCUGAAAUCAGUCGAAGAUACCAGCUGGCUGCAACUGUUUAUUAAAAACACAGCACUGUGCAAACACGAAAGUGGACGUAUACGGUGUGACGCCUGCCCGGUGCCGGAAGGUUAAUUGAUGGGGUUAGCCGCAAGGCGAAGCUCUUGAUCGAAGCCCCGGUAAACGGCGGCCGUAACUAUAACGGUCCUAAGGUAGCGAAAUUCCUUGUCGGGUAAGUUCCGACCUGCACGAAUGGCGUAAUGAUGGCCAGGCUGUCUCCACCCGAGACUCAGUGAAAUUGAACUCGCUGUGAAGAUGCAGUGUACCCGCGGCAAGACGGAAAGACCCCGUGAACCUUUACUAUAGCUUGACACUGAACAUUGAGCCUUGAUGUGUAGGAUAGGUGGGAGGCUUAGAAGUGUGGACGCCAGUCUGCAUGGAGCCGACCUUGAAAUACCACCCUUUAAUGUUUGAUGUUCUAACGUUGACCCGUAAUCCGGGUUGCGGACAGUGUCUGGUGGGUAGUUUGACUGGGGCGGUCUCCUCCUAAAGAGUAACGGAGGAGCACGAAGGUUGGCUAAUCCUGGUCGGACAUCAGGAGGUUAGUGCAAUGGCAUAAGCCAGCUUGACUGCGAGCGUGACGGCGCGAGCAGGUGCGAAAGCAGGUCAUAGUGAUCCGGUGGUUCUGAAUGGAAGGGCCAUCGCUCAACGGAUAAAAGGUACUCCGGGGAUAACAGGCUGAUACCGCCCAAGAGUUCAUAUCGACGGCGGUGUUUGGCACCUCGAUGUCGGCUCAUCACAUCCUGGGGCUGAAGUAGGUCCCAAGGGUAUGGCUGUUCGCCAUUUAAAGUGGUACGCGAGCUGGGUUUAGAACGUCGUGAGACAGUUCGGUCCCUAUCUGCCGUGGGCGCUGGAGAACUGAGGGGGGCUGCUCCUAGUACGAGAGGACCGGAGUGGACGCAUCACUGGUGUUCGGGUUGUCAUGCCAAUGGCACUGCCCGGUAGCUAAAUGCGGAAGAGAUAAGUGCUGAAAGCAUCUAAGCACGAAACUUGCCCCGAGAUGAGUUCUCCCUGACUCCUUGAGAGUCCUGAAGGAACGUUGAAGACGACGACGUUGAUAGGCCGGGUGUGUAAGCGCAGCGAUGCGUUGAGCUAACCGGUACUAAUGAACCGUGAGGCUUAACCUU
rnacentral:rRNA from 1 species